AUUUGUCUGGUUAAUUCCGAUAACGAACGAGACCUUAACCUGCUAACUAGUUCUCAAUACACUGUAUUGUGAUACUUCUUAGAGGGACUAUGUAAAUCAAUUACAUGGAAGUUUGAGGCAAUAACAGGUCAGUGAUGCCCUUAUAUGUCCUGGGCUGCACGCGUGCUACACUGAUGCAUACAACAAGUGCCUAGCCAGAUAUGGUAUGGCAAUCUCGAAUAUGCAUCGUGAUGGGGAUAGAUCUUUGCAAUUAUAGAUCUUGAACGAGGAAUUCCUAGUAAGUGCAAGUCAUCAUCUUGCAUUGACUAUGUCCCUGCCCUUUGUACACACCGCCCGUCGCUCCUACCGAUACCGGGUGAUCCGGUGAACCUUUUGGACUCCGUAUGGGGAAAGAUAAGUAAACCAUAUCACCUAGAGGAAGGAGAAGUCGUAACAAGGUUUCCGUAGGUGAACCUGCRGAAGGAUCA
rnacentral:rRNA from 1 species